rnacentral:tRNA from 1 species
UCCGGCGUAGUCUAGUCUGGUUAGGAUACCUGGCUUUCAAGUCAGCGAGGCGAAGCCCUCGAACGAAAUGCCCAGGCGACCCGGGUUCGAGUCCCGGCGUCGGAA